AUUGAACGCUGGCGGCGUGCCUAAUACAUGCAAGUCGAGCGUGAAAUCCCCUUCGGGGGAGAGUAAAGCGGCGCACGGGUGAGUAACACGUGGAUAAUCUACCUUUUUGUUUGGGAUAACGUCUGGAAACGGGCGCUAAUACCGGAUACGCUCCAAAUAAGUCUAUUUUGGGGGAAAGGUGGCCUCUAUUUAUAAGCUAUCGCAGAGAGAUGAGUCCGCGCCUCAUUAGGUAGUUGGUGGGGUAAAGGCCUACCAAGCCUGUGAUGAGUAGCCGGCCUGAGAGGGUGAUCGGCCACACUGGGACUGGAACACGGCCCAGACUCCUACGGGAGGCAGCAGUAGGGAAUAUUGCGCAAUGAACGAAAGUUUGACGCAGCGACGCCGCGUGAGUGAUGAAGGUUUUCGGAUCGUAAAGCUCUGUCAAGAGGGAAGAAGUGUGUGUACUCUAACAUAGUGCGCAUUUGACGGUACCUCUGAAGGAAGCACCGGCUAACUCCGUGCCAGCCGCCGCAGUAACAC
rnacentral:rRNA from 1 species